UGCAAAACUCAACCUUUCUCGUCUUUGUCUUUUUUUAUGCAGGAGCUACCGUCCCUGCCGUACAGCCUGGUCGAGGGUCAGGACUGCACCUCUGAACAUUCAGCCUGCUUCUCCAGUGCCAACAACAGUCCGCAUGCCUCAGUAAGUAGAAGCAUUUGGUUGAACAGAUCAGAAUUUGAAACUGCGUUUGCGUCCUUUUCAGCCUUUUUGGUCGCUGUCAUCCAUCACUGGGAGUGUGUGUGUGUGUGUGUCUGUGUGUGUGUGUGUGUGUGUGUGUGUCUGUAACCUAAAACUGAUCUCACUGGAGAAGUAACCGGGUUUGAGGGGAAUAAAUGUUCCCAGGCACUCACUGAAUUUCUGUUGGGAAACACCUGGGUCCAGAGCCUCAGCCCUGGUGCAUGAUGGGAAAGAUGAGAACCUCCCUCUGAGAAGGGCCAGGUCCCCAGGGGGAGCAGACCCGGGGGAAGCAGGGGCCACGGGCUAAUCUCUUUACUUCUUGAUGUGACGAUGGACCCCAAGGUGCUGGGAAAGUGGGAAGGAAGUUUAAUGUCAUUUGACUGUCCCCACGGUAAAGAGAGGGAUGCGUACUGAGUGCCUUGGGGGCCCCACCUUGUGGCGUUGGAUUGGGGGCUUCAGGGCACGUGACCGUGGUUGGUAUUAGGAUUUCUGUGGAUUUCUGUGCACCCAGCCCCCCCACCUGUCAGCCAGGUACCAGAGACGAUCCUGCGUUUACAGCUCCAAGUUCACUCCUGUGGACGUCUCCAGGAUGUCUAACCUUGUGGUGAGAUCCCAAAGUGCAGUCUGCUUUGUACUAGUGGGGACCCUGCGAUGAUGUCGAGGGGCACGUGGACUUCUGUUUUUGUUGUUUGGUAUCGAUUGUUGUUAUUUGGUUUCAUGAUGAUCUUCCCUUUAUAGCAACUGAUACUGGCUUUCUGUUUAUGGUAGUGAUCUGAAAUGAAUUUUGAAAAUAUUUAAGUUUUAAGAAAGAUGAGUUGACUUAAAAAAAUAAUGCAGAAAUAAGAUGAACAUGGAAAGAAUAUGGCGAGAUGCUGUGAUGGUGAUAAAUGAAUGGAUGUGAGUGGAUUCCUUUAUCAGAGAUGUUCACGCAGUCCUGGGCAGGGUCCAUGUGUGUGCUAUGUAUUUGAAAUGCUUUCAUCUUUUCCCCCAAUCAACGCUGGUGUUUCGUACAAAGCUGGACUCUCCAAGGUCCCACCUUUUGGCCUUUGUCUGUUCCCCCAAAAGAUUUUGAGGUUGUGUUUUUUUUUUUUUUUUAAAUAAUAAACCUCACUUCUGGGUCACGUGAAAGAGACAUUUAUCUGAGUUGCUGAGAGGAAGAGGAAGAAGAGGAAAGAUGCUGAAAACUGACAACCACACAGCCCGAUUUUCUUGUGCCAGCUGGUCGCUGACCAGACAUUUCUUCUUUGUUCUAAGCCCCCUCAACGACCCCAUAAGGUAAGCACCAUCUCUGCCUUCACUGUGUUGGUGAGGAAACCAAAACCGGAGUCCAGUGAUGGACCCCAGGGCUUAGAGGCUGCAUCCACCCGCUGAGCCACUCCGUCGCCGGGGCACAGUCUUCUGGCUUCACCCCAAGCCCGUGAAACUGUCUCUCCC
ensembl:lincRNA